rnacentral:misc_RNA from 1 species
AACUUUUAACAACGGAUCUCUUGGCUCUCGCAUCGAUGAAGAACGCAGCGAAAUGCGCUACGUAAUGUGAAUUGCAGAAUUCAGUGAAUCAUCGAAUCUUUGAACGCACCUUGCGCCCUUUGGUAUUCCGAGGGGCACACCCGUUUGAGUGUCGUGACAUUCUCAAAACCUUCUCGGCUUCUCGACCGGGAAGGCUUUGGACUUUGGAGGCUUUUGCUGGCCAUCCUUUGUUGGCGCCAGCGCCUCUGAAAUGUAUUAGUGGGGUCUGCUCUGCCGCUCCUUGACGUGAUAUGAUGGAAUCUACGUCUUGCGGUCUAGCCCUCCUGCUUCUCACCGUCUCACAGUAGACAAAUGGUCCACUCGACCCACAAACCUUGACCUCAACUCGUGUGAUACUACCCGCUGAACUUAAGCAUAUCAAUAAGCGGAGGCU